AAUGAACGCUGGCGGCGUGCUUAAUACAUGCAAGUCGAACGGAAUACUAGGAGCUUGCUCCGAAAUAUUUAGUGGCGAACGGGUGAGUAUCACGUGAGCAACCUGCCCCGAAGAUUGGGAUAACACCGGGAAACCGGUGCUAAUACCGAAUACCUUCCAAUGACCGCAUGGUCGAUGGAAGAAAUGUUUUUUCGCUUCGGGAGGGGCUCGCGGUCCAUCAGCUUGUUGGCGGGGUAACGGCCCACCAAGGCUACGACGGGUAGCUGGUCUGAGAGGACGAUCAGCCACACUGGAACUGAGACACGGUCCAGACUCCUACGGGAGCAGCAGUAGGGAAUCUUGCGCAAUGGACGAAAGUCUGACGCAGCAACGCCGCGUGAGGGACGAAGGGC
rnacentral:rRNA from 1 species